GGGGCUGUAGCUCAGCUGGGAGAGCGCCUGCAUCGCACGCAGGAGGUCAGGGGUUCGAUCCCCCUCAGCUCCA
rfam:Omnitrophica WOR_2 bacterium RIFCSPHIGHO2_02_FTLL_68_15 rifcsphigho2_02_scaffold_18193, whole genome shotgun sequence.